CAAAAUGUUCACGGAGGGAAACCCUGGAAUCUCCCCCUGAAAACCUGUUAAUGUGGCUGAGAGCUCAAAACUGAAUCAUUGAAAACAGUAUAUUUUAUGGACAUAGAGAAAGAUGCUGCUUUUCUCCUGACAAUCUUCAAAGAGGGACCAGGUCAUGAUAAAGCAAAGCUGAAAGUCACUGCAGAGCAGGUCAGCAACCCACAGAGACAAUCUUCCCUAAAUUGGCACUUUAAUGCCUUGGGUUUUAGCAUUCUGGCCUCAGAUGGAAAACCUGUAUGGACUCAGGACUGGAAUUAGAAAAUUUUAAGAGAACAAAAGCAAAAGGAAGUUUUGCUGCUAACUGUCUCUAUCAAGUUUUUCUACAUUGAAGACAAACUGUGUAUGUGAUUUGUUCUCCUCAAAUGAGAUAUUCAGGAAUUCCGGAGCAAGGAAGUUAUUGGCAUUCGUUUAGUGUACCACAAUGCUAGGGCUGAGGCCUCCGGGAUCCUCUGGGCCUUUUUCAUGGUUGAAAAAUGACAGUGGCAGCUUCAUUCCUUGUGCCCAGUUCCAGAGAGGAGGAAUGAGAAAGGAGCAAGAAGAAAAGGCUGACAUCUAUGGGAAGCCAAACUUUUUCAGGAAUCCCCUGCUCAGCACAAUCAUAACUACAUAGAUGAUUACAGUUGUAUGUUCGGAGAAAAAGAGGAGAGAGAAGACUAAGACUCAUAGGAAAGAAUCCUGCUUUUAUUAAUCAUUCAUACAUAUUUUCAUUUAUGUUUUGAAAGCCAACAACAUACCAGGCUGUCUGUUUGGCACUUAAUAUCUUCAGUCUGACCGAUACCAACUUCGGUUUUCUUGUGGAAAAAAUAAGGAUGUGCUCCUCCUGGGCAUUCAGAAUCCAGCAGGAACACUAUCGCCUCUAUGAACCCCAUACCAGCCCAGGCUAAGUAAGAUGCUGUGGUAGAUUACAUUUUCCAAAGAUGGCUACACCAAGAUAUAUCCUGCCCCACAUAUCCUUCUUAUACCAUGACACUGACACGUCUCCAUCAAGAGAUGAGAUCCUUGUUCCCCUACCUUGACCUGGGUGGACCUUUGUAACUGCCUCAAACAACAGUGUGACAGAAGUGCAUGACCUCUCAGAUGUAUUUGUCGGGGUUUUCCAGAGAAACAGAAUCAAUAGGAUGUAUG
rnacentral:lncRNA from 1 species